rnacentral:lncRNA from 1 species
CGAAGAGGUGGCCAAAGUCCACGAGCGCCGCCUUGUAUUCGUCGUCCGGGUCCCACGGGGCGUUGCGGUGGGACGUGCCGUGACGCUCGUUCUUGUUGGUCUCCUGCAUGUCCCCGAGGCUCGCGAUGCGAUGCAUGGUGGCGAAGGACUGGGUUCGGAGAAGAGAAGGGAACGGGCGGCGUGAGGCACGUGUUAUCGACGUCCGAGGCUCGUGACAGAGCGGGGCUAUAAAUGUCACCCUCUGGAAGGGGGUUUUCUUCCGGGACCUCGGAUUACCCGAGGGAGAAGGGUUCGGGGCGCGCUCGGGACGCACCUGGGGUGGAUCUUAGGGCUGGUUGGAACACGCGCGAGCGAUCUGAGAGGGUUGGGUCGGCCUGGGAAGGUCGAUGCGCCUCUGCGCUGGUCAAAGUGCCCGAGCUGGGGUCCCGAAAAAGCACAAAAUCCUUGUCAGCAAAGCGGGUCCGCUGUGUCCAAUUUUCAGGCGGCGAACGGUCGCGGGGUCGCGAACUCAGGGAUGGAUGGAAUUUCUCGGUGACGCUGAAACCGGCUCUCACGCGUCUCUCACGUUCGAAGUUUUUUGAACUCUUGGGGGUGCCAACCUUUCGUCCAGUUCGCCUGGCGUCCGUGUGCGUGCCUCUCAGGGCAUCAUGCCGCGCGAGAAUGGGGUGACGCCAGAUGGCGAGGAUAAGGAAUCCAAGGUUUUCAGGAGGAAACUCCGCGGGAAGA